rnacentral:tRNA from 1 species
UUGGUUGUGGUUCAUCUCGUGAACAUGCACCUUGGGUUUGCAGAUAUUUUCUACGGUAACUCGAUCAAUAACCAGAUGGUUCCCGUUCGUCUUACUGAU